GUCAAAGAUUUAUCGCUGAGGAUGGCCUCGCGUCUGAUUAGCUAGUUGGUGGAGUAACGGCCCACCAAGGCGACGAUCAGUAGCCGGACUGAGAGGUUGGCCGGCCACAUUGGGACUGAGAUACGGCCCAGACUCCUACGGGAGGCAGCAG
rnacentral:rRNA from 1 species